UCCACCCCGGGCCCUUGGGGCUCCCUGGUUCCCGCCGGCCGCCCUAUUCAUUCUGCGCAUCUCGGGAGCCAAGCUCGGCUUCCCUCCAGGGAUCACCCUUGGACCUUGCUAUUGUCCCUGUCGCCUGACUUCUGCUAUGCUAAGUUCCAGCAAGGUGAUCUGGAAAAAAAACGAUACUGGCUCCCAGGCCGCGAUUCGCCUUUUCUGCGGGGACCUCGGGACGCAGGCAUCGGCGCAUUGUGCUGGACGCGCUGACCCGGUCGCCUGCGCCCCGCCGGGACAAUUGUUCCCUCAUUAGGGCGGCCUGGAGCUGCGGAAAGGCUGGCGGCCCUUUCCCACAAUCACUGACAAUGUGCGGCAGCAGACGUGUCGCAGAGGCGGUACCUAGGGUGGUACAUUCUUCUGGUUCUGAUCUUGUCUGGGCUGCCAAAUGGGGCUUUCAUUCAUCCGCCUUUAUUAGAAACAAGAGCUGAGGUGGUCAGCGAAUCAAACGCAGGGACACAGAGGGAAGGAGUCCCUGAAGUGUGCUUUGAUUACAGAAGGGAAAGAGCCAAUAAAAGCAAUGACAACUUCAUUAAAAAGGCAUCUGAGAAGAACAAAACUUCACAUAGUAUCAUCUUAUACUUUAAGUGGUAUUUCCCUGCAUUCUCUAAGAAACUCCA